AGCAGCCGCGGUAAUUCCAGCUCCAAUAGUGUAUAUUAAAGUUGUUGCAGUUAAAAAGCUCGUAGUUGAAUUUCGGGAUUGGCGCAUCGGUCGUGCCUUACGGGGUAUGAACUGGUGCAGUCAAUUUCUCACCUUCUGGAGAACCGCGAUGUCCUUAAUUGGGUGCCGCGGGGAACCAGGACCUUUACUUUGAAAAAAUUAGAGUGUUUAAAGCAGGCAUUUUUGCUUGAAUACAUUAGCAUGGAAUAAUAAAAUAGGACGGCAUGGUUCUAUUUUGUUGGUUUCUAGGACCACCGUAAUGAUUAAUAGGGAUAGUUGGGGGCAUUAGUAUUCAAUUGUCAGAGGUGAAAUUCUUGGAUUUAUUGAAGACUAACUACUGCGAAAGCAUUUGCCAAGGAUGUUUUCAUUAAUCAAGAACGAAAGUUAGGGGAUCGAAGACGAUCAGAUACCGUCGUAGUCUUAACCAUAAACUAUGCCGACUAGGAAUCAGACGAUGUUAAUUUUUUAAUGACUCGUUUGG
rnacentral:misc_RNA from 1 species